rnacentral:lncRNA from 1 species
CUUCAAAGUAAUAGAGAUAAUUUAAUUUCAGAUACAGCUUUGUGUUGUUUCACAGGAUUUUCUAAAGUUAGGUAGUUAAGACAAUUAUAUUUUUACCUUAAGCCUGUUUCUUUUGAAAGUCUGUUUUUCUACACAAAGAUCCAAGAAAUGAGCAGCACAGAUGGAAAUCAAAAACAAAACAACAAUCAAAAAAGAACCUAUCAGCAAUUUUGGUAAAUUUCUUUAGAAGUGAAUUUAUUUAUAUAUAUAUAUAUAUCUAUAUGUGUGUGUGUGUGUAUAUUUGUUAAUGCCAGCUUACUGGUGUAUUACACAUAUCAGGUUUAAAGGUCUUAACUAAUAGGAUCCUAGCCAUCUCCUUUGCAGAGACAUCAGUCUAAUCUUAACUGUAUUGGAAUCAAGAGAAAUUCCUUAAU